ACAGAUACUGGCGGGCUAGAGAAAGUCUGGAGGCAGCGGAAUGUGACAAGUAGCGGUGAAAUGCAUAGAUAUGUCACAGAACACCGAUAGCGAAAGCAGCUGCCUAAGACUUAUCUGACGCUCAGGGACGAAAGCGUGGGGAGCAAACAGGAUUAGAUACCCUGGUAGUCCACGCAGUAAACGAUGGAUACCAUCUUUUUGGCAAUUAUGCUGAGAGGACAAUCGAAAGAGAUAAGUAUCCCACCUGGGGAGUACGUGCGCAAGCAUGAAACUCAAAGGAAUUGACGGGGGCCCGCACAAGCGGUGGAGCAUGUGGUUUAAUUCGAUGAUACGCGAGGAACCUUACCAGGGUUUAAAUGGGUCCUGAAUAAUUUGGAAACAGAUUAGCCGCAAGGCAGGAUUCAAGGUGCUGCAUGGUUGUCGUCAGCUCGUGCCGUGAGGUGUUAGGUUAAGUCCUGCAACGAGCGCAACCCCCAUGAUCCGUUACUAACAGGUAAAGCUGAGGACUCAGAUCAGACUGCCGGCGUAAGCCGCGAGGAAGGCGGGGAUGACGUCAAAUCAUCACGGCCCUUACACCCUGGGCCACACACGUGCUACAAUGGCCGGUACAGAGAGCAGCCACCCCGCGAGGGGGAGCGAAUCUACAAAACCGGUCUCAGUUCGGAUCGCAGUCUGCAACUCGACUGCGUGAAGCUGGAAUCGCUAGUAAUCGCGCAUCAGCCAUGGCGCGGUGAAUACGUUCCCGGGCCUUGUACACACCGCCCGUCAAGCCAUGGAAGUCUGGGGGACCUGAAGACGGUAACCGCAAGGAGCCGUUAAGGGUAAAACAGGUAACUAGGGCUAAGUCGUAACAAGGUAGCCGUAUCGGAAGGUGCGGCUG
rnacentral:rRNA from 1 species